rnacentral:rRNA from 1 species
UACGGAGGGUGCAAGCGUUAUCCGGAAUCACUGGGUUUAAAGGGUGCGUAGGCGGCGCUAUAAGUCAGAGGUGAAAGGCCACCGCUUAACGGUGGGACUGCCUUUGAUACUGUAGUGCUUGAAUCAGGCUGAGGUCGGCGGAAUGAGUCAUGUAGCGGUGAAAUGCAUAGAUAUGACUAGAACACCAAUUGCGAAGGCAGCUAACUGGGCCUUGAUUGACGCUGAGGCACGAAAGCGUGGGGAGCGAACAGGAUUAGAUACCCCCGUAGUCC